rnacentral:rRNA from 1 species
GAUGAACGCUGGCGGCGUGCCUAAUACAUGCAAGUCGAACGAAACUUCUUUAUCACCGAGUGCUUGCACCCACCGAUAAAGAGUUGAGUGGCGAACGGGUGAGUAACACGUGGGCAACCUGCCCAAAAGAGGGGGAUAACACUUGGAAACAGGUGCUAAUACCGCAUAACCAUAGUUACCGCAUGGUAUCUAUGUAAAAGGUGGCUAUACUACCGCUUUUGGAUGGGCCCGCGGCGCAUUAGCUAGUUGGUAGGGUAAAGGCUUACCAAGGCAAUGAUGCGUAGCCGAAUUGAGAGGUUGAUCGGCCACAUUGGGACUGAGACACGGCCCAAACUCCUACGGGAGGCAGCAGUAGGGAAUCUUCCACAAUGGGCGAAAGCCUGAUGGAGCAACGCCGCGUGGGUGAAGAAGGUCUUCGGAUCGUAAAACCCUGUUGUUAGAGAAGAAAGUGCGUGAGAGUAACUGUUCACGUUUCGACGGUAUCUAACCAGAAAGCCACGGCUAACUACGUG